rnacentral:rRNA from 1 species
CGUCUAUAUACGUAUAGCAUAUCAAUAAGCGGAGGAAAAGAAACUAACAAGGAUUCCCUUAGUAACGGCGAGUGAAGCGGGAGAGCUCAAAUUUGAAAUCUUCAAGGUUCUACCUUGACGAAUUGUAGUUUAUAAGAAGUGUUUUCUGUUAGUAGAGUUGGCUAAAAGUUCUUUGGAAUAGGACAUCAUAGAGGGUGAGAAUCCCGUAUUUGACCAUUACUUUCCAGCUUUGUGAUACACUUUCAAAGAGUCGGAUUGUUUGGGAAUGCAGUCCAAAAUGGGUGGUAAAUUUCAUCUAAAGCUAAAUAUUGGCGAGAGACCGAUAGCGAACAAGUACCGUGAGGGAAAGAUGAAAAGAACUUUGAAAAGAGAGUUAAACAGUACGUGAAAUUGUCAAAAGGGAAGCGUUUGACACCAGUGUUGUUUUUCCGAAAAUCAAUUACGAAUGUUUUAGUUUUUAAGAAGUUAUGACUUCAUCGGCUUGCUUCUCUCUUUAUGAAACUUUCUUAAUGCACUUUUCGGUUAACAAGUCAACAUCAAUUUCUUUUGUUGUAAAAGGGUAUGAGGAAGGUGGCUUUCUUUUCGGAGAAAGUGUUUAUAGCCUUGUAGCCUCUGCAAUCGGAGAGAUUGAGGUCUGCAGCGUAGAUCCUUCGGGGUUAGAUACAGUUUGUGCUAAGUUAUAGCUUUUCAUAGACAACUUGUUGACUAUGUUAAGUCUUGUAGCUUACUCGCUUAGUGCUAUUUUACCUACGCUUAGGAUGUUGACACACGCGCGUGCUCG